GUCUAUGGCCAUGCUACCCUGAACAAGCCCAAUCCCAUCUGAUCUCAGAAGCUAAGCAGGGUCCAGCCUGGUUAGUACUUGGAUGGCAGACCACCUAGGAAGACCAGGUGCUUAGGGGU
rnacentral:rRNA from 1 species